rnacentral:rRNA from 1 species
GCCACUGUCUCGGCCAUGAGCUCGGUGAAAUUGUGGUAUCGGUGAUGACGCCGAUUACCCGCAGCGGGACGAAAAGACCCCGUGAACCUUUACUACAACUUUACAUUGGCUUUAGCUGUAUCAUGUGUAGGAUAGGCGGGAGACUUUGAAGUGGCGUCGCCAGGCGUUGUGGAGUCACCCUUGAAAUACCGCCCUUGAUACAGGUGAAGUCUAACCCUUUGCGGGGAACAGUGUAUGGUGGGUAGUUUGACUGGGGCGGUCGCCUCCUAAAGAG